rnacentral:lncRNA from 1 species
UGGGGUCCAACGUAGCAACAAUAGCUGUAGUGAAGUACUUCUUAAAAUAUCCCUGAGCAAGUCAAGCUACUUUUCAGUGUGUGGUGAAUAUAGAAAACCUUCUUUGGACAGGUUCAGUAGUAUUCCUUGGCACACUGACAUUUUCAUAAAUGAUGUCUUUUGCAUUUAAUAUUUAUGUGGAAGCUGUUUGUAUGUUAGUGUUUGAGAUGGGCCAGCUUCAAAAGGUUUGGAAUUCCAGCUUCAGCUAAGCAUUUAAACGUUCAGAGGCUUGUCCAAAGCUUAUCCAACCUCUCAAAUAUGAAAACCCAGAGUUGAAACAGCCUGAUGGGGAUAACAUAUUGCCCUCAAAUGUAGCCAGCCUUGUAACCUUUUUUUUUUUUUUUUUUUUUCUUGCUUCCUGCACUUCCUUUCUGUGGUGCUCCUGAGUCUCUUGGGAAAACAAGCAAAGGGAAGACAGAUGAUAAAACACCUCUCUAAAAACUCCCAAUAUUUAAUGCUAUUUUUAUUGCAUGCAUGCUACUGGAGACUUUGACAUGUCAUAUUCUUGUCUUUUUCUGCCCAGCAACAAUGUACAAAUGAAGCACACACAAAAAAAAUGAACAGUAAUAUUAUUGUUGACCUAAUUAUUUCAAGGACUGUGUAGCUGUGGCAAAAGCCAUUGUGCUUCCUCUCGGAAACAAGUAGGAAAUCGAUAUUUUUGAGUGUUUAUUUAGAAAUUGAGCAUCAGGUACCAC